UCGACGGCGAGGUUGGACUAG
rnacentral:miRNA from 1 species